rnacentral:sRNA from 1 species
CGGUGGGCCCUUGAGUAUUUACCCUGCUGUGGUAGUGUCAGCCCAUCCCGGCCAAUGCCGAACUUUCAAAAACCCCGCCCUUGGGCGGGGUUUUGCUUUAUU